CAGGCUUAACACAUGCAAGUCGAGGGGCAUCAGGAAGAAAGCUUGCUUUCUUUGCUGGCGACCGGCGCACGGGUGAGUAACACGUAUCCAACCUGCCCUUUACUCGGGGAUAGCCUUUCGAAAGAAAGAUUAAUACCCGAUAGCAUAAUGAUUCCGCAUGGUUUCAUUAUUAAAGGAUUCCGGUAAAGGAUGGGGAUGCGUUCCAUUAGGUUGUUGGUGAGGUAACGGCCCACCAAGCCUUCGAUGGAUAGGGGUUCUGAGAGGAAGGUCCCCCACAUUGGAACUGAGACACGGUCCAAACUCCUACGGGAGGCAGCAGUGAGGAAUAUUGGUCAAUGGGCGCUAGCCUGAACCAGCCAAGUAGCGUGAAGGAUGAAGGCUCUAUGGGUCGUAAACUUCUUUUAUAUAAGAAUAAAGUGCAGUAUGUAUACUGUUUUGUAUGUAUUAUAUGAAUAAGGAUCGGCUAACUCCGUGCCAGCAGCCGCGGUAAUACGGAGGAUCCGAGCGUUAUCCGGAUUUAUUGGGUUUAAAGGGAGCGUAGGUGGACUGGUAAGUCAGUUGUGAAAGUUUGCGGCUCAACCGUAAAAUUGCAGUUGAUACUGUCAGUCUUGAGUACAGUAGAGGUGGGCGGAAUUCGUGGUGUAGCGGUGAAAUGCUUAGAUAUCACGAAGAACUCCGAUUGCGAAGGCAGCUCACUGGACUGCAACUGACACUGAUGCUCGAAAGUGUGGGUAUCAAACAGGAUUAGAUACCCUGGUAGUCCACACAGUAAACGAUGAAUACUCGCUGUUUGCGAUAUACAGUAAGCGGCCAAGCGAAAGCAUUAAGUAUUCCACCUGGGGAGUACGCCGGCAACGGUGAAACUCAAAGGAAUUGACGGGGGCCCGCACAAGCGGAGGAACACGUGGUUUAAUUCGAUGAUACGCGAGGAACCUUACCCGGGCUUAAAUUGCAGUGGAAUGAUGUGGAAACAUGUCAGUGAGCAAUCACCGCUGUGAAGGUGCUGCAUGGUUGUCGUCAGCUCGUGCCGUGAGGUGUCGGCUUAAGUGCCAUAACGAGCGCAACCCUUAUCUUUAGUUACUAACAGGUUAUGCUGAGGACUCUAGAGAGACUGCCGUCGUAAGAUGUGAGGAAGGUGGGGAUGACGUCAAAUCAGCACGGCCCUUACGUCCGGGGCUACACACGUGUUACAAUGGGGGGUACAGAAGGCAGCUAGCGGGUGACCGUAUGCUAAUCCCAAAAUCCUCUCUCAGUUCGGAUCGAAGUCUGCAACCCGACUUCGUGAAGCUGGAUUCGCUAGUAAUCGCGCAUCAGCCACGGCGCGGUGAAUACGUUCCCGGGCCUUGUACACACCGCCCGUCAAGCCAUGGGAGCCGGGGGUACCUGAAGUACGUAACCGCAAGGAUCGUCCUAGGGUAAAACUGGUGACUGGGGC
rnacentral:rRNA from 1 species